AAUCGAACUCGGAUAUAGCUGGUUCUCCCCGAAAUAGGUUUAGGCCUAGCCUUGAUGUAAGGAUAGUGGAGGUAGAGCACUGAAUGUGUGAUGGCGUCGUCUAGAUGUACUGAGCACAAUCAAACUCCGAAUGCCAUUAUUACGUAAUCAGGAGUCAGUGUAUGGGUGAUAACGUCCAUACGCGAAAGGAAAAGAAUCCAGAUCGCCAGCUAAGGUCCCAAAAGUUGUGUUAAGUGGGAAAGGAUGUAGAGUUGUAGAAACAGCUAGGAGGUUGGCUUAGAAGCAGCCAUCCUUUAAAGAGUGCGUAAUAGCUCACUAGUCGAGUGAAACUGCGCCGAAGAUGUACCGGGGCUAAACACAAUACCGAAGCUGCGGAUUCAUGCAUAAGCAUGAGUGGUAGGGGAGCGUUCUAAAUGCGUUGAAGGUAUACCGAGAGGAGUGCUGGAGCGUUUAGAAGUGAGAAUGCCGGUGUGAGUAACGAAAAAUGGGUGGAAAUCCCAUUCACCGAUUGACUAAGGGUUCCUGGGUAAAGUUCGUCUUCCCAGGGUAAGUCAGGACCUAAGGCGAGGCCGAAAGGCGUAGUCGAUGGACAAUAGGUAAUUAUUCCUAUACCACCUAUAUAACUGAAGGAGUGACGAAGGAGGCUAACAUGAGCCGGUUAACGGAUUCCGGUCUAAGCACAAAGGCUGGUACACAGUGAAAUGCGUGAUAUCGUGUGGCUGAAGUGUGAUGGGGAAGCGACGGUUUCGACCGAAGCGAACUUGUGUGACGCCAAACUUCCAAGAAAAGCUUCUAGGGCUAAUUAUAUAGGUGCCUGUACCGAAAACCGACACAGGUGGUCAAGGAGAGGAUCCUAAGGUGAGCGAGAGAACUAUGGUUAAGGAACUCGGCAAAAUGACCCCGUAACUUCGGGAGAAGGGGUGGUCAAGCAAAAAAUACAGCGAUGUAGGAAAAUGUAUUGACCCGCAGUGAAUAGGUCCAGGCAACUGUUUACCAAAAACACAGGUUUCUGCAAACACGAAAGUGGAAGUAUAGGAGCUGACGCCUGCCCAGUGCUGGAAGGUUAAGGUAAGAUGUGAAUCCUACGGGAGGCAGCAUUGAACUGAAGCCCCAGUGAACGGCGGCCGUAACUAUAACGGUCCUAAGGUAGCGAAAUUCCUUGUCAGGUAAGUUCUGACCCGCACGAAAGGCGUAAUGAUCUGGAUACUGUCUCAACCAUAGACUCGGUGAAAUCUUAAUACCUGUGAAAAUGCAGGUUACCCGC
rnacentral:rRNA from 1 species